rnacentral:rRNA from 1 species
CUACGGGCUGCAGCAGUGGGGAAUAUUGCACAAUGGGGGAAACCCUGAUGCAGCAACGCCGCGUGGAGGAUGACGCAUUUCGGUGUGUAAACUCCUUUUAUAUAGGAAGAUAAUGACGGUACUAUAUGAAUAAGCACCGGCUAACUCCGUGCCAGCAGCCGCGGUAAUACGGAGGGUGCAAGCGCUACUCGGAAUCACUGGGCGUAAAGCGCGCGCAGGCGGCCUUUUAAGUUGGAUGUGAAAGCCUAUGGCUUAACCAUAGAACUGCAUCCAAAACUAUCAGGCUAGAGUCUGGGAGGGGAAGAUGGAAUUAGUUGUGUAGGGGUAAUAUCCGUAGAGAUAACUAGGAAUACCAAAAGCGAAGGCGAUCUUCUGGAACAGUACUGACGCUGAGGCGCGAAAGCGUGGGGAGCAAACAGGAUUAGAUACCCGAGUAGUC